rnacentral:rRNA from 1 species
UUAAGAAAUUUUACAGGCGGAUGGUGGAUGCCUUGGAAGAUUGAGGCGACGAAGGACGUGGCGUGUCUGCGAUAAGCCUCGGGGAGGUGACUAGCAACCUUUGAUCCGGGGAUUUCCGAAUGGGGAAACCCAACGUGGCUCAUACCGCGUUACCGCGCUGCUAAAAACAACGCGGGGCGAACCUGGGGAAGUGAAACAUCUCAGUACCCAGAGGAAAAGAAAACGAAGUUUAAUUCCCUUAGUAGCGGCGAGCGAAAAGGGAAGAGCCUAAACCGAGCACAUAACUUGUUUAUAUGCUCGGGGUUGUAAGAAGAUAGCGUCGGGAGCCGAGCACAUAAUUUAUGUGCUUGGUGCCUGAGGGAGAACAUUUAGAUAAAGUUUGGUUAGAAGAAAGACCCUGGAAAGGGCUACCAUAGAGGGUAAUAGUCCCGUAUUCAAAAAUCACUUUAUGCUCCUUGUUAUCUACCGAGCACAUAAGUUUUAUGUGCUUCGGUGAAUCUUGAGUACUUCGGGAAAUGAAAACCCUGAAGGAAGCAAGCCGGACUAACCGGCUAAGGCUAAAUACUCAAUCUUACCGAUAGUGAACCAGUACCGUGAGGGAAAGGUGAAAAGUAGGGAGGUAAUCCCGGUGAAAUAGAACCUGAAACCAUCUCGCUUACAAAGAGUCGGAGCCGAGCACAUAAUUUAUUAUGUGCUUCGGUGACGGCGUGCUUUUUGCAGAACGAGCCAAGGAGUUUAUCUUUUUCUUUUACCUAAGUCCUUUUGGGAUGGAGGUAUAGUGAAAGCGAGCGUUAAAAGCGCGUUAAAUAAAGGAAAGGAUAAGACCCGAAGCCAAGCGAGCUUGCCAUGGCCAGGGUGAAGUUUGACGAAAGUCAGAUGGAGGCCCGAACCCGUGAGCCGUGCAAUACUCUGGGAUGAGCUGUGGUAAGAAGUGAAAAGCUAAUCGAGCUUGGUAAUAGCUG